rnacentral:piRNA from 1 species
UGCCUGGUCCAUGUGAGCUCCACAUC